CCUACGGGGGGCAGCAGUAGGGAAUCUUUCACAAUGGGCGAAAGCCUGAUGGAGCAACGCCGCGUGCAGGAUGAAGGCCUUCGGGUUGGAAACUGCUUUUAUAAGCGGGAAAUAUGAUGGUAACUUAUGAAUAAGGAUCGGCUAACUACGUGCCAGCAGCCGCGGUCAUACGUAGGAGCCGAGCAUUAUCCGGAGUGUCUGGGUGUAAAGAGUUGCGUAGGUGGCAUAAUAAGUAGCUAGUGAAAUCUGGUGGCGCAACCAUUCAGACUAUUAGCUAAACUGUUAAGCUCGAGAGCGUCAGGGGUAACUGGAAUUUCUAGUGUAGGAGUGAAAUCCGUAGAUAUUAGACGGAACACCAAUAGCGUAGGCAGGUUACUGGGACGGUUCUGACACUAAGGCACGAAAGCGUAGGGAGCAAACGGGAUUAGAUACCCGUGUAGUC
rnacentral:rRNA from 1 species